UUUACCUGUGUGACUGCGUACCUUUUGUAUAAUGGGUCAGCGACUUAUAUUCUGUAGCAAGGUUAACCGCAUAGGGGAGCCGGAGGGAAACCGAGUCUUAAUUGGGCGUUAAGUUGCAGGGUAUAGACCCGAAACCCGGUGAUCUAGCCAUGGGCAGGUUGAAGGUUGGGUAACACUAACUGGAGGACCGAACCGACUAAUGUUGAAAAAUUAGCGGAUGACCUGUGGCUGGGGGUGAAAGGCCAAUCAAACCGGGAGAUAGCUGGUUCUCCCCGAAAGCUAUUUAGGUAGCGCCUCGUGAAUUCAUCUCCGGGGGUAGAGCACUGUUUCGGCUAGGGGGCCAUCCCGGCUUACCAACCCGAUGCAAACUGCGAAUACCGGAGAAUGUUAUCACGGGAGACACACGGCGGGUGCUAACGUCCGUCGUGAAGAGGGAAACAACCCAGACCGCCAGCUAAGGUCCCAAAGUCAUGGUUAAGUGGGAAACGAUGUGGGAAGGCCCAGACAGCCAGGAUGUUGGCUUAGAAGCAGCCAUCAUUUAAAGAAAGCGUAAUAGCUCACUGGUCGAGUCGGCCUGCGCGGAAGAUGUAACGGGGCUAAACCAU
rnacentral:rRNA from 1 species